UAGUCCACGCCCUAAACGAUGUUCACUGGAUGUGUGAUAUUAAUUGCGCAUCUGAGCGAAAGCAUUAAGUGAACCACCUGGGGAGUACGCCGGCAACGAUGAAACUCAAAUGAAUUGACGGGGGCCCGCACAAGCGGUGGAGCAUGUGGUUUAAUUCGAUGCAACGCGAAGAACCUUACCAUCCCUUGACAUCCAGAGAAUCUGUUAGAGAUAGUAGAGUGCCUUCGGGAACUCUGAGACAGGUGCUGCAUGGCUGUCGUCAGCUCGUGUUGUGAAAUGUUGGGUUAAGUCCCGCAACGAGCGCAACCCUUAUCCUUACUUGCCAGCGGGUUAUGCCGGGAACUUUAGGGAGACUGCCGGUGAUAAACCGGAGGAAGGUGGGGACGACGUCAAGUCAUCAUGGCCCUUACGGGAUGGGCUACACACGUGCUACAACGGCAGAUACAAAGGGUUGCUAACCUGCGAGGGUAUGCGAAUCUCAUAAAGUCUGUCGUAGUCCGGAUC
rnacentral:rRNA from 1 species